AUGAACGCUAGCUACAGGCUUAACACAUGCAAGUCGAGGGGCAGCAUGGUCUUAGCUUGCUAAGGCCGAUGGCGACCGGCGCACGGGUGAGUAACACGUAUCCAACCUGCCGUCUACUCUUGGACAGCCUUCUGAAAGGAAGAUUAAUACAAGAUGGCAUCAUGAGUCCACAUGUUCACAUGAUUAAAGGUAUUCCGGUAGACGAUGGGGAUGCGUUCCAUUAGAUAGUAGGCGGGGUAACGGCCCACCUAGUCUUCGAUGGAUAGGGGUUCUGAGAGGAAGGUCCCCCACAUUGGAACUGAGACACGGUCCAAACUCCUACGGGAGGCAGCAGUGAGGAAUAUUGGUCAAUGGGCGAGAGCCUGAACCAGCCAAGUAGCGUGAAGGAUGACUGCCCUAUGGGUUGUAAACUUCUUUUAUAAAGGAAUAAAGUCGGGUAUGGAUACCCGUUUGCAUGUACUUUAUGAAUAAGGAUCGGCUAACUCCGUGCCAGCAGCCGCGGUAAUACGGAGGAUCCGAGCGUUAUCCGGAUUUAUUGGGUUUAAAGGGAGCGUAGAUGGAUGUUUAAGUCAGUUGUGAAAGUUUGCGGCUCAACCGUAAAAUUGCAGUUGAUACUGGAUAUCUUGAGUGCAGUUGAGGCAGGCGGAAUUCGUGGUGUAGCGGUGAAAUGCUUAGAUAUCACGAAGAACUCCGAUUGCGAAGGCAGCCUGCUAAGCUGCAACUGACAUUGAGGCUCGAAAGUGUGGGUAUCAAACAGGAUUAGAUACCCUGGUAGUCCACACGGUAAACGAUGAAUACUCGCUGUUUGCGAUAUACAGCAAGCGGCCAAGCGAAAGCGUUAAGUAUUCCACCUGGGGAGUACGCCGGCAACGGUGAAACUCAAAGGAAUUGACGGGGGCCCGCACAAGCGGUGGAGCAUGUGGUUUAAUUCGAAGCAACGCGAAGAACCUUACCAGGUCUUGACAUCCCGAUGCUAUUCCUAGAGAUAGGAAGUUUCUUCGGAACAUCGGUGACAGGUGGUGCAUGGUUGUCGUCAGCUCGUGUCGUGAGAUGUUGGGUUAAGUCCCGCAACGAGCGCAACCCUUACUGUCAGUUACUACGCAAGAGGACUCUGGCAGGACUGCCGUUGACAAAACGGAGGAAGGUGGGGAUGACGUCAAAUCAGCACGGCCCUUACGUCCGGGGCUACACACGUGUUACAAUGGGGGGUACAGAGGGCCGCUACCACGCGAGUGGAUGCCAAUCCCCAAAACCUCUCUCAGUUCGGACUGGAGUCUGCAACCCGACUCCACGAAGCUGGAUUCGCUAGUAAUCGCGCAUCAGCCACGGCGCGGUGAAUACGUUCCCGGGCCUUGUACACACCGCCCGUCAAGCCAUGGGAGCCGGGGGUACCUGAAGUGCGUAACCGCGAGGAGCGCCCUAGGGUAAAACUGGUGACUGGGGCU
rnacentral:rRNA from 1 species